rnacentral:rRNA from 1 species
GAUGAACGCUGGCGGCGUGCCUAAUACAUGCAAGUCGAGCGAACAGACGAGGAGCUUGCUCCUCUGACGUUAGCGGCGGACGGGUGAGUAACACGUGGAUAACCUACCUAUAAGACUGGGAUCACUUCGGGAAACCGGCGCUAAUACCGUAUAAUCUAUUGCACCGCAUUGUUCAAUAGUGAAAGACGGUUUUGCUGUCACUUAUAGAUGGAUCCGCGCCGUAUUAGCUAGUUGUUCAGGUAACGGCUUACCAAGGCAACGAUGCGUAGCCGACCUGAGAGGGUGAUCGGCCACCCUGGAACUGAGACGCGGUCCAGACUCCUACGGGAGGCAGCAGUAGGGAAUCUUCCGCAAUAGGCGAAAGCUUGACGGAGCAACGCCGCGUGAGUGAUGAAGGUCUUCGGAUCGUAAAACUCUGUUAUUAGGGAAGAACAAAUGUGUAAGUAACUAUGCACGGCUUGACGGUACCUAAUCAGAAAGCCACGGCUAACUACGUG